rnacentral:rRNA from 1 species
UACGAAGGGGGCUAGCGUUGUUCGGAAUUACUGGGCGUAAAGCGCACGUAGGCGGAUCGAUCAGUCAGGGGUGAAAUCCCAGAGCUCAACUCUGGAACUGCCUUUGAUACUGUCGGUCUAGAGUAUGGAAGAGGUGAGUGGAAUUCCGAGUGUAGAGGUGAAAUUCGUAGAUAUUCGGAGGAACACCAGUGGCGAAGGCGGCUCACUGGUCCAUUACUGACGCUGAGGUGCGAAAGCGCGGGGAGCAAACAGG